UAGAGUUUGAUCAUGGCUCAGGAUGAACGCUAGCGACAGGCUUAACACAUGCAAGUCGAGGGGCAGCGGGUAGAUGAGCUUGCUCAUUUAUGCCGGCGACCGGCGCACGGGUGAGUAACACGUAUGCAACCUGCCCGUCUCAGGGGGAUAAUCGUCGGAAACGGCGUCUAAUACCCCGUAUGAAGCCGGACGGCAUCGUCUGGUUUUGAAAGAAUAUCGGAGACGGAUGGGCAUGCGGCGCAUUAGCUAGUUGGCGGGGUAACGGCCCACCAAGGCGACGAUGCGUAGGGGUUCUGAGAGGAAGGUCCCCCACACUGGUACUGAGACACGGACCAGACUCCUACGGGAGGCAGCAGUGAGGAAUAUUGGUCAAUGGGCGAGAGCCUGAACCAGCCAAGUCGCGUGAGGGAGUACUGCCCUAUGGGUUGUAAACCUCUUUUGUCGGGGAGCAAAAGCCGGACGUGUCCGUCUGUGAGAGUACCCGAAGAAAAAGCAUCGGCUAACUCCGUGCCAGCAGCCGCGGUAAUACGGAGGAUGCGAGCGUUAUCCGGAUUUAUUGGGUUUAAAGGGUGCGUAGGCGGCCUGCCAAGUCAGCGGUAAAAUUGCGGGGCUCAACCCCGUACAGCCGUUGAAACUGCCGGGCUCGAGUGGGCGAGAAGUAUGCGGAAUGCGUGGUGUAGCGGUGAAAUGCAUAGAUAUCACGCAGAACCCCGAUUGCGAAGGCAGCAUACCGGCGCCCUACUGACGCUGAGGCACGAAAGUGCGGGGAUCAAACAGGAUUAGAUACCCUGGUAGUCCGCACAGUAAACGAUGAAUGCUAGCUGUCCGGGGGGAUUGACCCCUGGGUGGCACAGCGAA
rnacentral:rRNA from 1 species